AAGUCGUAACAAGGUUUCCGUAGGUGAACCUGCGGAAGGAUCAUUACUGAGAUAGGGUCCCUCUGGGGCCCGACCUCCAACCCUUUGUCUAAAUAACCUUUGUUGCCUCGGUGGGACGUCAGGAGACUGUCUCUUCAGGAUCCCGACCGACGGAGUCCCCCCCUCAUCGGGGGGCCCCCUCGAGCGCCCGCCGAUGGACCAUUUAAACCAAUUUUAAAACGAGACUUCUGAGUGGAAUUUUAAUACUUCAAAACUUUCAACAACGGAUCUCUUGGUUCUG
rnacentral:misc_RNA from 1 species